rnacentral:rRNA from 1 species
ACGACGGGUACGGGUUGUGACAGCAAGAGCCCGGAGAUGGAUUCUGAGACAUGAAUCCAGGCCCUACGGGGCGCAGCAGGCGCGAAAACUUUACAAUGCGGGCAACCGUGAUAAGGGGACACCGAGUGCCAGCAACAUUUGCUGGCUGUCCAGGUGCGUACAAUGCACCUGUUAGCAAGGGCCGGGCAAGACCGGUGCCAGCCGCCGCGGUAACACCGGCGGCCCGAGUGGUGAUCGUUAUUAUUGGGUCUAAAGGGUCCGUAGCCGGUUUGGUCAGUCCUCCGGGAAAUCUGUCAGCUCAACUGAUAGGCUAUCGGGGGAUACUGCCAGACUUGGAACCGGGAGAGGUAAGAGGUACUAC